GGGUGGGAGUGGAGGGGCAACAGAUGGGAGGAAUGACACAUGAGACGUGGCGUGAUCUAGAUACAGGCAGAUUGAUAUUGACAGACAACAGGACGAGUGCAGUGUGAGGAAGCAGCGCGGGCAGAUACAUCAUGGAUGUGGAGCUAACGUGGACCUGAGGGCUAAUUAUUUCAGUGGUCUCUGGUAUCAACAGCUGUGGAGGAGGACAAAUAGACUUGAGACAAAUGAAGGACAGUCUAGUUCUUUUUUGACGGCGGUGCACUGGACGAAGAUCACACCUGCUGCACCGCUGGCACGCUGUAAUCAGGGCGCGUCUGGUGGCAAACAAAAUCAGGCCCAGCACUGGUCAUUAGCAGGGUUGAUGAAUAGGCAUCAACCCAGAUCACAUGUCAUGUAA
rnacentral:lncRNA from 1 species